rnacentral:rRNA from 1 species
AUUGAACGCUGGCGGUAUGCUUAAGACAUGCAAGUCGAACGGUAACAGGUUAAGCUGACGAGUGGCGGACGAGUGAGUAACGCGUGGGAAUCUACCUUGUAGUGGGGGAUAAGCCAGGGAAACUUGGACUAAUACCGCAUACGCCCUAAGGGGGAAAGGCGCAAGUCGCUAUAAGAUGAGCCCGCGUCUGAUUAGGUAGUUGGUGGGGUAAAGGCCUACCAAGCCGACGAUCAGUAGCUGGUCUGAGAGGAUGAUCAGCCACGUCGGGACUGAGACACGGCCCGGACUCCUACGGGAGGCAGCAGUCGGGAAUAUUGGACAAUGGGGGAAACCCUGAUCCAGCAAUACCGCGUGUGUGAAGAAGGCCUGCGGGUUGUAAAGCACUUUCAGUUGGGAAGAUAAUGACGUUACCAACAGAAGAAGCACCGGCUAACUCCGUGCCAGCAGCCGCGGUAAGGUGACGCUCU